rnacentral:rRNA from 1 species
UGGGGGAUAUUGCACAAUGGGCGAAAGCCUGAUGCAGCGACGCCGCGUGGGGGAUGAAGGCCUUCGGGUUGUAAACUUCUUUUGCUCUGAACAAGGCGCACCAUGGGGUGUGUUGAGUGUAGGGGUUGAUUAGCGCCGGCUAACUACGUGCCAGCAGCCGCGGUAAUACGUAGGGCGCGAGCGUUGUCCGGAAUUAUUGGGCGUAAAGGGCUUGUAGGUGGCUGGUUGCGUCUGUCGUGAAAGCUCAUGGCUUAACUGUGGGUUUGCGGUGGGUACGAGCUGGCUUGAGUGCAGUAGGGGAGGCUGGAAUUCCUGGUGUAGCGGUGGAAUGCGAAGAUAUCAGGAGGAAUACCGGUGGCGAAGGCGGGUCUCUGGGCUGUUACUGACACUGAGGAGCGAAAGCAUGGGGAGCGAACAGG